AAGUCGUAACAAGGUAACCGUAGGUGAACCUGCGGUUGGAUCAUUCUUUGGAGUGCCAUACAAUUUACGAAUUGUGUGCAUCGACCCUGUGCAUUUUUAGUACUUGAUACGUGAUUGACUAGUUACAACGAAGAAAUGUACUAGCAAAAAAUAAAUGAACUGAGAAGCAAAUCAAAACAACUUUUGACAACGGAUCUCUUGGCUCUC
rnacentral:misc_RNA from 1 species